AGAACCGAUGGGAAAUGUAGUCCAGGGCAGAAAAGCGGUCAACCCAGCCACGAUGCGAGCCAAAGGAUUCUUGGCUCCAAGCCUGGUCCUGGCUGUUAGUUUGGAACUCAUGCACCCAGAUGCUAACUCGCCCUCAGAAUGCAGAGGGGAUGAAACACUGACCGGACAAUUCAAUCUGUAUAUGGGUGAGUCCAGGGCUCAGUCUGCAUUGCGCGGAAAAUGAAGGUGAAGGUGGAGGUGGGACCUGAUGGUCUCGUCCCGGAUAGGGUUGAAGAAGUGGGAGAAAAGGAAUCAAAAUCGUGGAUGGGAUAAGAUUGUGCGCGAAUGCUCUCUGGGAGCGGAUCGUGGCCGACGAGGGCCCGAAGAUGCUGCCUUGUGAUCGCAGGAGAUAAACUGGAGGGGAAGACGAAUGGCAGGAGGGUGAAGAGGAAACUGAAUUACUGUGCAAACACCCGCCACUCAAAUCCGGGUGGUUACUGCAGAGUGAAUAACGAUAGGUACUAUUUCGUGUAAGGCAAAGUCCUUUGAAAGGGCUCCUAGAGCGUCAAGGCCUCCACCUGAUGAAUGAAUGAGUCAGGCAGGCCCAGCUCCACUUCACGGAUGGGAAAACUGAGGUACGAGGCCUCGCUGAAAGAUGCGAGGCAGAGCGGAGAACCAGAAGCACCACUUCUCUCAGGCUGAUGCUCUAAUCUCGGCUCCCCCCGCCCCUACAAUGGCGUAGACGGCCUCCGCCGCCCGACUCACACACACCCUCCCCCGGGAACGGCAAGUCUCCUCGGGUUCCAAGGACAGGGUCAAAAGACAAGAGGCCCGAGGCGCUCCCGCCGUGAUUUGCAGCCAGAUACCGUUGGGAGCGCAGCCAGAGAGCGUUGGGAGCGUGCGUACCUCCAGCCCAACAUGGCGGCGGCAGCGGCCGCCCCCGACCCCAAGCCCUCCCUCAGGGCCCGAGGCUUCUCCUCAGGGCCUUCCGGUGGGCGGGAAGACAGCGCAACCCCGCCAGGCCUUUCUCGUCGCUGCGCCUGCUCGCUGAAGGAGUCACCUACCCGACGAGACUAACGGCUGCGGCGCGGAAGCCCCACAGCCCGCCGAGAACCAGGAAUACGAGAGCCAGGCGGCGCGGCGGCGGGACCUGUACUGAGCAAGAAAGAAGAUUUCAAAGUAAUUUAUUGUUAUGAGAUCCGUGCUUUUAUCUUGUCUCAGACUCCCAAUGAUAGGCACAUACUCUCCUCUGUACAUUUAAUGAAACUACUAAAAUAUUUCGAUUUAAAUCUUCCACCUAUUUGUUUUCUGUGUAUCCUACCUGUUCCCGACCUUGACAUUUUCAAAGAAUACAGGUUACUUAUUUUGUU
ensembl:lncRNA novel transcript